GGACAUGGAAUGAGAAACACAGCAGUUUUCAUUCGAGCUCCAUUUAUACAGCUGUAAAAGUCAAGUGACAUGCAUUUUAGGCCAUGGAAUAAUUAGAAAAUUUUUAAGGAACAUUAGAGAAGGAAAAAGGAGAAAACUAUCAACUAUGUGACCUAAAAAAGAAGGAUGACCAUCAUGGUCAUGGAUUCAACAUAUGUACUGUCUAAAGCUACAUACCUCAAGCCAAAGAUUAGCACCAGCAGGUGGACCCAAACCAUCAGACCAAUCAUAACCUUUCCAUCUGAUAACAGGCAGAUGUAUUGAUACACAGUGUUAACAGACAAUAAUAAUACAAGCAAUUCUACAUAUCUACCAGUCUUAGAGCUGUCAUCAAAGUCAAGGAAUGUCUGGGCAGGAUGCAAACUUCACUCUGAGGUUCUCUCUUGACUGUCAGAUGUCAGCAGCCUGGAGGCUGGGGGCUGAGGCCCACCCCUUACCAGUGGGGUGGAUGAGACAGGCUGGUGGUAUGUCCUUUGUCCAUGUGGCCUCAGAUUCCCCUCUCAGGGCCCCUUCACUGCUCUAAAGUCCCUUUAUAUGUAUUCUUUUCCCCUCCUGAUGAGUUUUCAACAAUGAGCACCACUGAUUGGUCUUUCUGUGGUGGUCAUACUGUACACAUUCUGUCCUAUCAGUAUACUCCUUUGUUUCACAAGCCCAUCACAGCCACACAUUCUUAUUUCAGCUUUCUGAGCUUUUUCCUAAUUUGGUCUGUUCUCGCAUUCUUGAGGCCUUGUGAGCUGUUGCCACCCUUUCUCAUGUUAUGGAACAGUGUGGCACAUGCGCACAAUUUUCCCAGGCUAUGUGCUUAUCCAUUGGCCUUGUUGCUUGCUUGGGUUAGAAACUCUGUCUCAACUGAAGGCUGUGUGAAACUGUGAGACAACCAGGCCUUUAAAAAAAAUCAGUUAAUCAGUUAACCCUUGGCAUUGCCCUGGACCAUUAUUCUA